rnacentral:lncRNA from 1 species
GCACCGUUCCAUUCUUGGUUCUCUGCUCUCUUCCUCUUUCUUUCCAAAGAUUAUCCUAAACCCGUUUCAUGCUUAGUUCUUCCUAUUUCAACCUAAAAACACAAGAAUACAUCAAUUUUUGUUACAGAUCUCACCAAAUCUAUUAAGAGCUGAAGCUAUAAAUUGAAUUUAAAGGAGAAGUAAAGCAAAACACGGAUCAAGAAGAAUUCAAUUUCUACAUAAAUAAGCUUGAAGCAAGAAUUCAACUAAUAUAUCAAACAAUAAAGGUAAGUCAUGUAUCCUUGCUAAAUUUAUGAAAAUUGAAGUAGAUAAUAUAUGUUAUUGUUGUGAUUGGUUGUGGGAGUUUGGAUUACAGAACCAUGAAGGGUUCAAAAGAUAUAAGGAAGAAUAUAUAAGGAGAUGGCAUGUUAAUGUGUGUAGAUUUUAUGAAAACUAAGCUUUUGAAACUGUGCAUGCUAUGUGUUUGCUAAAAUACCUCAAUGAGGUUAUUUUGCUAAAAUAUGAGAAAUUACUUGGUUUCUCUGCAAAUUGUUGAGGAUAUGUGAGUUAUAGGGUAAAAUGCAAAGUCGACCACUGAAUUUUAGGGGUUUUUGUGUAUUGAACCAUUUUUUUUUGGUCAACGCAAAUUGAGCCCCUUUUUAUUAAAAAAUUUAGACUUUGAGCCCCAGACGCCACAUGUGCGUUGACCUGCUUAUGUGUCUGACGUGAAUAUUUUUUAUUUUAUUUUACACGUGAACGAGCUUACAUGGCCAUUUUCAAAAUUUAUUCCAAAAAUAUGUUGCUCCAUGGAUUCGAACUUAAAACCACCAACUUGAAACUUUAGUCCAAUGACCGCUCAAGCAACUCAACUUAACUACUGUUGUUUCACAAAGAUUAAUAUUUAUAAAGAAAAAAUUCAUUUCUUCCAAAUUAAAAGAAUUCAUUUCCCCCAAAUUAAAAGACAAAACAAAUCCCCAAAUUAAAUUUUUUUUUUAAUGAGAAUUAUACUGGUAUGGUGCUCAUUGCUUUUCCUAUUUAUUUAUUUCAGUAGUUUAAUUCUUUGUAUUCAGAAUAUUGUUUUGAUGAAAUAUCUCUCACGUGAAACUUGUGCAAUUGGGAAGUGAGACUCAUUUGCAAGGUCAAGGUAUAGGAUGAUUGUAUACACAAAAUAAUAAUUAACUUAAUAAUACUUUAAACGAAUAUAAUAUUUUUUUGAUGAAUUUGUAUGUUAUUUAUUAUUGAAUGCAUGUAAUACACAGUUAUAACAUGUUUAAUUUCUUAGAAUUUUGAAUUAGCUAGCAAUAACCCGUGGGCCCCAAUGCCCACCAAGUCAUCUAGAUAUCAGCAUUUGAAUUUUUGAAAUUGGAAUAAGGCGUGGGCCCUAAUUCUUCCACUGACUCCUUGACCCAAAUCAACUUUCGUGGGACCCAUGAGCCAUCAUCAGGUCAGUCACCCAUCAGUAGAAAUCCACCAGCGAGACUCGGGCACAGUCACAGCAUCAACAAACCACUAUGAACGCCGACAAAGAUAAUGAGAUCAACACAGAUUUAAACAACAUAAAACAGCUUUCACACCCACAACGAUUAUCAUCAAUUAGAUCUAAAAGGGUGGGCCAAUUAACAGAAUGGGAAUGGAAGAAAUAGCAGUUCAUAUCAUAUACUCCCCAGAAUUUGGCCAAUCAAACCAAACAAAUCGGCAGUAUCCUAGUUUAUAAACACUCAUGAACAGAUAUGUGAUAACAGUAGGAGAUAAAACGAGCAUAAAUGCACUUAGAUUAGAAACAAAUCUAAGAAUCAGAUUCGAAGCAAGCAAAUCUGAAAAGGGAUCAAAACAACCUAUGAAUUCACAGCAAUAAACAUAGGAAAUAAUGAUAAGUAAGGAAAUAAUAGGUAAAACAACAAAGACCAACCGAGCUAGCUCCACUAUUAAUGGUAUCUAAAUUUCUCAGCUUUAGUCAGAGACUGAGACUUAACAGAUCUAAGAAAAGGGAUUUUGUUUUAAUUUGGGGAAAUUCAUUGUUGAAUUAUAAAUCAUAGUCCUUGCGGAAAUAAAGCAACUAACUUGUGGUGCUCGGGUGGUCAUUGGGUCGAAAUUUAGAGUUGGAGGUCUGGAGAUCGAAUCUGAGCAGCAACAAAUUUAUGCCACAUGUAAACACAUGUAAAAUUAAAAUAAAAAUACUCCAUGUGAGCAAGUCAAAAUUCAGUAUCCAAAAACCCCUAAAAAUUAACUCAAGUAGUAUGGAUAAUUGAAAUUAAGUUCAAAAUGGUUUUGACGAAUUUCUUGCAAACUAGUGAAAACUAAAAAUUUUGUUAAACGUAGAUUUUCGAGCUCUUCCUUUUAUACCAUAAAAAUGUUUAUAAAGACCCAACCUUGGUGUAAUUGGUACCAUGAAGUGUGGCCUAGAAGUGAACAGGUUUUAAGUUCUUUGAACUUGCGAUGUGGAAGAUAUGAUUGAGAAGGUAGCAUGAGAAGCGAAAGAAAUUUGCAAAAACAGAACCCUUGCCUAUCUUAUGCCCAAUUUGGACUGCUUCAGCCUUGCCCUGAUCUCUAUUCUCUAAGUUCACCAUUUAGGUAACCUUUGAUAUUUAAAGGAUAGCUUACAGGUUCUACACACGGAAGGAGGGAGGGGGAAGUAUGAACCACAUGUCACUUCAAUAUGAUUUUGGUCGGUGAUUGUGGAGAUUACUUUGGUUUAUUUUUAUAAAUUCAAUUUUGUUAGAGUUGUACUUCUUGGGAAAUGGUUAUAGGGUAAGGGAAGUAGGAAACUCUGGGAGGCUGUAAUGGUGGGUUGUGCUCCUACGAGUUCUGGAAAUAAUUCAAUUGUAAUGAAUCAAAAAGGAGUUAAAACGAAUUUAUAGUGAAGGAUUUAGUAAAACAUGUUAGAAACUGAAAAAUUGUGAAUUGCUGACCCUAAGGACAAAUUCGAGGCUAGCUAGAGUUCCCAGAAAAAUUUGGGCUUUUGGGGUAUUAUAGUACAUUGAAUAAGCUUUCCAUAGACUCCGGAACGGACUAAUUCUGACUUCGGAGCGACGAGUUAUGCCAUUCAAAGUAGUCGCGUCAUAACUGUCCAACCAAUUCUAACCAGUCCCCUUUGCACGAAAUUCUGGAAUUUUGUGUUAAGAAUUUGAAAAUGGUCAAAGAAUAAAAGUUGUAUCCCCGGAAGUUAGCUUUGCGUGGGCUCAAGAAUCGCUCAAAAAUGUUUUGAAACGAAAAAGUUAUGAUUGUUUUACCGAGAGAGGGUACAGCUGGGUUAGUUAUAUGUUAUGUUUGUGUAGUCUUUAUUAUCUAUAUGAAUACAGUUCAUGGUUUCUUAGAACCUCCAUUUGUCUUUGAACAAACUUCUUGAAUUUGGGGGUAUGCUCACAAAUUUUACGAACAUCAAUGAUGUUUUGCUUUUAAAAAGAGGUUCUUUGUGUUAUUGAUUUGUAUUGGAGCUGGGUUUGUUGUAGUAUGGUGUGGAGUUUGUGGAAUGAAAAGUAUUUUUGGGUUCUAAAUUUUAUCUAAGUAUUGAAGUUUGUUAACAGAUUUUAGGAAUCUUUUCCAUAUAGUGAUUGUGAUGGUGAUUGGUAGAUAUAGUCACUUAUGAACUUUGGAUAAGUUUUGACACAUGAUAUAUUAUUAUGAUCUCCCACGACCAAUAGGGAAGUUUUUCUACUAUAAGCAAAUAAAUGUUGCAAAACAACUACUUGGAAUUACAAAAGAAAAUAAUAAAGUGUUUGACUAUUUUUUUAAAUAAGCCAAGUUAACGAAAUUAAUGUGAUUAAAUAUAUUCCUACGGAUAUUAUAGGAAACCUUGUGAACGAAGGAAAUAUCGUGUUCAGGGACGUCAAAACUAAUCGAGGUUAUGCGACGUAAAGUAAGAAUAUGCCAAAGUCGUGUUGAAGCCUUGUAAAUUUAUUUAAUACCCAAAAAGGACUAUAAAUACAAUGUGAAACCUCAAACUUGAGUAUAGAAUACAAGGUGUAAAUUCGAUCUAAUACGAAAAAUAAACUAAGAAUGCGAUAUGAGACCUUAAGUUGAAUAUUCAGACUAUAUCUCGGAACCAAAUGGUUUUUGAAAUGCAAAGCAAAGAUUAUGCAAAUAGAGAUAAAAACUCAUUGGUUGGCAUAAAUAAGUUAUGUAUGAAUAUAAGAUAUACAAAUAGCAUAUGUUUAGCUACAAGCUAAGAGAACAAGACAUGAUUUUUCAUUACAGGCUAGGCGUAUAUACAAAAGCAUAUAUACAUCUCAUGUAUAUCUGAAAUGGGAAAAGUAAUGUUAUGUGACAGUAUUAUUCGUGCAAAGCGAAGUCCAAGUUACUCGCGAAAACGAAAUUAAGCUAUGAAUGCAUGCAUAAAGAAAAACACAAGUGCACUAUAUGACUAUAAAUUUACAUAUAGAUGAAUAUUAAGCCUGUAAAUGGAAGGUAAUGGCAUUCUAAAAACUAUAUUGGAACCUGUUGAGGGAAAUAUGAUUAUAUUAAGCUGAAACUUAAAAUAUUUGAAAAAUAAUAUGGAAGUUUCUUGGAAAUGAGAAUAUCAGGUAUUGAUAUAACAUAUAUGAAUGUUUAAUAUCUAUACAAGAGUAUGUGGCUAAUGUAUGCAUACAUGUUAACAUAACUGUGUAGGAUUCAUGAAGUGAAGUUAAACUAAAGUUUGUAUCAAUGGUCAUUGAACAAGGC